rnacentral:rRNA from 1 species
GCAAGUCGAGCGAAGUUUUCUGGUGCUUGCACUAGAAAAACUUAGCGGCGAACGGGUGAGUAACACGUAAAGAACCUGCCUCAUAGACGGGGACAACUAUUGGAAACGAUAGCUAAUACCGGAUAACAGCAUAAAUCGCAUGAUAUAUGUUUAAAAGUUGGUUUCGGCUAACACUAUGAGAUGGCUUUGCGGUGCAUUAGCUAGUUGGUGGGGUAAAGGCCUACCAAGGCGACGAUGCAUAGCCGACCUGAGAGGGUGAUCGGCCACACUGGGACUGAGACACGGCCCAGACUCCUACGGGAGGCAGCAGUAGGGAAUCUUCCGCAAUGGGCGAAAGCCUGACGGAGCAACGCCGCGUGAGUGAAGAAGGAUUUCGGUUCGUAAAGCUCUGUUGUUAGGGAAGAAUGAUUGUAUAGUAACUAUAUACAGUAGAGACGGUACCUAACCAGAAAGCCACGGCUAACUACGUGCCAGCAGCCGCGGUAAUACGUAGGUGGCAAGCGUUGUCCGGAAUUAUUGGGCGUAAAGCGCGCGCAGGUGGUUUAAUAAGUCUGAUGUGAAAGCCCACGGCUCAACCGUGGAGGGUCAUUGGAAACUGUUAAACUUGAGUGCAGGAGAGAAAAGUGGAAUUCCUAGUGUAGCGGUGAAAUGCGUAGAGAUUAGGAGGAACACCAGUGGCGAAGGCGGCUUUUUGGCCUGUAACUGACACUGAGGCGCGAAAGCGUGGGGAGCAAACAGGAUUAGAUANCCUGGUAGUCCACGCCGUAAACGAUGAGUGCUAAGUGUUGGUCUCAUAAGAGAUCAGCGCUGCAGCU